AUUAAAUUCGUGAUCAACUGUAAUCUGGAUGUAAUUUAGGUAUAAUAUCAGGUGUCGUAGUUAAUUCUCAGCACAUGGACAUAUUUGGUACAUGGGUUAAAAUUUGAUUAUGGGUCAACUAAAGCCUCAACUAUAAUGAAGUUUGGCUUGCAUACAACCUGUUGAUUAUUGAAGACUUGAAGGAAAAUUUGGGUUCAUUUCUUUGGGUGAUGAAUGUUGUCCCUGAAGAUGGAUCUAACACAUUGAAGCUUAUUUACGAUAGAGGCCAUCGAUUCAAUUCAUAACUGGUGUGAAGCAUACUCAACCUACCCGCGUACAUACGAUCUUCUCCAUGCUAGCAACGUGUUCUCAUACAUAAUUGAAAGGAAAGGUUGCAGUGGUGAAGAUUUGUUGAUCUAGAUUGAUUGUAUUCCUAAGCCCACGAGCUUCCUAGUUGUUCGGGACAACAAGCCUGUUAUAAACUUCGUGAAGAAAUACAUAGCUGUGAUACACU